rfam:Canis lupus familiaris chromosome X, whole genome shotgun sequence.
AGGAGGAGCAACCACAGUGGCUGCUGCAGCUCUGCAAACCUGGAUUCAGCUCCCGUAGAAACUACUCCAGUCUGCAGGGCCUGGAGGCUCCGGGGUGGG